rnacentral:rRNA from 1 species
UACAGAGGUCUCAAGCGUUGUUCGGAUUCAUUGGGCGUAAAGGGCGCGUAGGCGGCGGGGUCAGUCGGGUGUGAAAUCUUGGGGCUUAACCCCGAAACGGCACUCGAAACUGCCCGGCUGGAGGGCCGGAGAGGAGAUCGGAAUUCUCGGUGUAGCAGUGAAAUGCGUAGAGAUCGUGAGGAAGACCCGUGGCGAAGGCGGAUCUCUGGACGGCUAACUGACGCUGAGGCGCGAAGGCCAGGGGAGCAAACGGG